rnacentral:tRNA from 1 species
AACGGAUUACGAGUAAUCUGUGUCGAUCUCACUAAAGUGCA